UACGUAGGGGGCUAGCGUUGUCCGGAAUCAUUGGGCGUAAAGAGCGUGUAGGCGGCCCGGUAAGUCCGCUGUGAAAGUCGGGGGCUCAACCCUCGGAUGCCGGUGGAUACUGUCGGGCUCGAGUACGGAAGAGGCGAGUGGAAUUCCUGGUGUAGCGGUGAAAUGCGCAGAUAUCAGGAGGAACACCUAUUGCGAAGGCAGCUCGCUGGGACGUUACUGGCGCUGAGACGCGAAAGCGUGGGGAGCAAACAGG
rnacentral:rRNA from 1 species